rnacentral:lncRNA from 1 species
GUGGACACAUGGGAACCUGGUAACCCAUAUGGUGUUGGGUAACCUCCCAGGGCUCUGUUGCAAUGGGAGUAUGUGCCAAUGACAGACAGGUAACUAUGGUAACUUGAGUAAUAAUGAGCCCACAUUCAUCCUCAUUGAAUACUAUUCAUUACCAGAAUCCAUGGAAAAUCACAUUCAUAGAGCCUGUAAAACAUUAAGAGGUCUGAGAAGCAGAAAUAUUUAAACAGAAUCAGAAAAGAGGAAGAUGAUAUUUUAUAUAAGAGGGUCUGCUGACUUCCCUCCAUACCAUUGGUACCCAGAGAAGAAUAGCUCCUCUGUUUUCCUGCCUGCCUGCAGAUUCAUCCUGUGCUCCAUUCAGCUGGCGUUAAGGUCUGCUAACUGCUGCUGUACAACUUAGCUUUUAUGCUCUACUGACGGGUUUUCUGAAGCCAGACGGUUUCUGAAAAGAGGGCCUAUUUGCAUAAACAAUGCCAUGUGAAGAGGUCUACUGGAAACAAAAUCAAAAUUCACUCAAGCAAAUCUUCCUGAUCAGCUCUUUUUUUUUUUUUGCAACUAACACCUCCUAUAGUUACCAUCUGUAUGUUAAAAUGUGACUGAGAGUUUGAACAAUUUUUUUCCCUCCAUUUCCUGUGUGUCCACUUUUAUGAAACAAGCCAAAAACAUAUUUUAUUUUCU